ACGAAAAUCGCCGCCUCCUCGUCAGUCGUCUCUAAAGUCGAAAGUCGAAACCAGGCGAGGCUCUGUCUGUGCUGUUGCUGUCCGCCCCCAGGCCACCGACGCGCCAUCUCUUCGACGACCUCUCGUCUCCGACAGCUCCUCGUGGCAGAGAUUCCACGGGCCACCACCGCCUCGCUUCACCUCCACCGCGCCCUUCCACGCUGUUCCUCUCUGUCGCCGUCACCUCGGAUAGCGGCAACAGCACCUCCACGUCCGCUGCUGGCGAUUCGUGCGCUUGGACGCUGCUACCGCUACCCCUUGUUUGGCCGCGAGCAACAUCGAUUGAUCGAUGCUGACAGCGACAUCGCCGACAUGCCGGCAUGGCUCCAUUUCUGCUAGCGAAAGCUUUCUUCAUGCAUGCCCCCCUAGCUAAAAUUUCUUCCCCUCUUAUCUUCUCACACAGCCUUUUGCGGGUCUGUUUUUGUUUUUAAUGAAGCAACGGUACUGCUUCUGCUGUAAAUGGAGGGAGUUGAGAUGGGGAAGCCGUACUAGCGAGUUGUUCAGGACGUCAUAGCAGGGGAAAGCAGAGAUCGAGUAAGCGCGUAGGUAGAAAACGCAUGCUGUGCGUGAAAAUUCACGUCAAUGAUCUGUUGUGUCCCAUCACCUACUGAAGAUUUUGUGGACAUUGAAAUGUAGUGAAUUCAUGGGUAAGGAAUUUGUUAGAAAAUUAGGUAUUAUUAGUUUUAAUUUAAUUCAGAAGAACAGUGUAAUAUAUGUGAUGAUAUGUAUGUGCAUAUAUGUACCACUAUUCGUAUAAGCAGUAAAGAAAAAUGAAACAUGCACAAGUACGGAAAACAAGAA